rnacentral:snRNA from 1 species
GAGAGCUCCAAGUGGGCCAU